rnacentral:rRNA from 1 species
ACGCUCGACACCUACGGGUGGCAGCAGUGGGGAAUAUUGGGCAAUGGAGGCAACUCUGACCCAGCAACGCCGCGUGAGUGAUGAAGGUCUUCGGAUUGUAAAACUCUUUAAGUAGGGACGAAGAAAGUGACGGUACCUACAGAAUAAGCCUCGGCUAACUACGUGCAGCAGCCGCGGUAAUCUGAGCGGGCUGGCAAGGC